rnacentral:rRNA from 1 species
UGGUUGUCGUCAGCUCGUGCCGUGAGGUGUCGGGUUAAGUCCCAUAACGAGCGCAACCCUUAUCGUUAGUUGCCAGCUGGUAAAGCAGGGGACUCUAGCGAAACUGCCACCGUAAGGUGAGAGGAAGGUGGGGAUGACGUCAAAUCAGCACGGCCCUUAUGUCCAGGGCUACACACGUGUUACAAUGGUCGGUACAGAGGGCAGCUACCUGGUGACAGGAUGCUAAUCUCGAAAACCGGCCUCAGUUCGGAUCGAAGUCUGCAACUCGACUUCGUGAAGCUGGAUUCGCUAGUAAUCGCGCAUCAGCCAUGGCGCGGUGAAUACGUUCCCGGGCCUU